GACGGACCACACGAACGUUAUUCGGAAUUACUGGGCUUAAAGGGUGCGUAGCGGCGCGGUAAGUCGGGUGUGAAAUCUCGGAGCUUAACUCCGAAACUGCAUUCGAUACUGCCGUGCUUGAGGACUGGAGAGGAGACUGGAAUUUACGGUGUAGCGGUGAAAUGCGUAGAUAUCGAUAAGGAAGACCAGUGGCGAAGGCGGGUCUCUGGACAGUUCCUGACGCUGAGGCACGAAGGCCAGGGGAGCAAACGGG
rnacentral:rRNA from 1 species